UAAAGGUGCCCCUGUUCAUUUGUUUUAACCAGGAUUUCCUUGUUAAUAGGCAUUUAUAUAUGAAAACAUUUGAGGAUGUUUAUUUUUAUUUUUCUAAUUAUAAAAGUAUUAUGUGUAUGAACAAGAACUUUGGAAAUCACAGAAAGUAGAAAAGAUUUGAAAGUACUCCCUAAUUCUACUCCCAUAGCUAACAGUUCAUACCCUGGUAUAGUUUAAUAUCAUGGUAUUAAACAUAGUUAAUACCUUAGUAUAGUUUAAUACCAUAGUAUUAAGGCGUCGUUUAAUACCUUCUUCCAGUCUUUCCAUGUCAUUUUGGGGGUGAUGUUUAAUAUUAGAUGUAUAUAAAAUAUAUAUUGUAUGAAAUAUACAUAAAUUGUUAUUUGCACAUUUAUAUGUAUGAAUAUACAUAUGCAAAUUUUAUAUAUAUGAAGAUUACUGUGUUUUAUGUAUACAUAUAUGUAUGAUAAUUUGAACAUUUGUAAUAGUAAGAACAUUAACCAAAAAAUUAUCCAAAUGUUAUUAUAAAAAUGUAGAUAGCAAAGAGAGGUUUUUUUCCUUGGCUACACUGAAGUUUCAUGGAAGUUCCCAGGCUGGGGGUCAAAUCAGAGCUGCAGCUGCCGACCUACACCACAGCCACGGCAACACUGGAUCUAGCCACAUCUGCGACCUACACCACAGCUCACCAAAACACUGGAUCCUUAACCCACUGAGUGAGACCAGGGACCGAACCUACAUCCUCAUGGAUACUAGCAGGAUUCGUUUUUGUUGAGCCACAGUGGGAACUCCCUCAGAGAAUUGGUUUUCAGAAAUCUGGAAUAUGGUUAAAAUGAUGGAGCCCACCUUCGAAUGUAAAUAAUUAACACGGAGGGACUCCAAUAGCUGUAAUAGCAGGAGAAUGGGAGCAUGGAAGUGUAAAAAGAUGCAUGUCAGAAGUUAAGGACGAAUAAAAAUUGUGCCUGUUUACAAAGCACCUUGUUCCACAAGGCCCCUUGCAGACUGUGCUGGGAGACGGGCACCGAGAGCCAGAGGACACCCUCGACCCGUGCUGGGCAUGGAACUCCUCAGAGGGGCGGGCAUGUUCACUGGUUGAGGGUCCCAGGGAGGGCUGGGCCGGGCAGGGCUCCCGAGCUGUAAGUGAGGGGCAGGCAGAUGGGGCUGCAGAGAGCGGGGCUGGGGGAGUUUCUGCUGUGGGUCUUUCCUAUUUACCUUCCUCCCUCUUCCUCGGGCUGCUGCCAAGGACGGCCCUGAAGUGGGGGUCGGAGAAGGGGAGGGAUGAGGGCCUCCCUUCCCUCUCUCCUGUCAUCACUCCUCCCUGUCCUCCUCUCCCCUCUCUCUUCCGGACGUGCCUUUGGGAGACUAGGAGCGCCUGGCCCAGAACCAGGCCACCAGAGCCAAAGAAGAAUGAAGGCAGUGACAGGGUGGGCUUGCGCCUGCAGGUGGGUAGGUGAGCAGAGGGUGGGACAAGCAGGAGCCCUCUGUGGCUUUGGGGGGAUAUUAACGGCUGUGUGUAUAUACGUAUGCAAGCAGCCACUGGUCUGCAAAGGGCAUGAGCAAGCUGUGGACAGUCCAACAGAAUCACCUCCAAAUCCUGGUGAUUAGUCAGCAGGGAAGUCAGCAGGGACAGCUGGCUCACGGAAGUCAAAAGAAAGAAAAGAAGAAGCGAAUUCUCCAAGGAACAGGGAGGCAGGAGAUCAACUUCAUCAAAACGUUGAGGAGGAUCCCCUGUGGCCCCGGGACCGGCACUGGCUCCCUGAGGACUCAGGUUGGAUCCCUGGCCUCGCUCAGUGGAGUAAGGAUCCAGCGUUGCUGCAAGCCGCAGGGUAGGUCCCAUACGCAGCUCCUAUCCAGUGUUGCUGUGGCUGCGGCGUAUGUCGGUAGCUGCAGUUCCGAUUUGAUUGCUGGCCCGGGACCUUCCAUAUGCUGCAGGUGCAACUGUGAAAAGAAAGAAAAGAGAAGCUGAGUGCAAAUGGCAAGUUUUGCAAGUUUAGAAGAAAGUGGCUCACACUGUACGUACGUGCAUAUGAACUUGGGGAAUUUUAGCAUUGGUUCUUCCUCAAUGGUUCUGAUACUGCCAACCCGCAUGAACUUUCUUGUGAGAAGUUCUGGUAUCUUCCUCAGUUUUUACCUUCUUAUUCGUAGCUGCGUAUUGUCACGUUGGCCCAAAUGACACCAUGUAAUUCAGUUUAUCCAGCUCCACCAUCACAGAGGGCGUAGGUGGUCCACCCUUAAGAUGCACCAAGCAUCAGAAAAAAAGUCAUAGUAGGGGGAAGAAAGUUAAACAAAACAGUGUAUUAUUUCCAGAUCAUCUCGAGGGUAGAAGGAAGGCAGGGGACAGGGGGUGAUACGGCCAAGCAGUAAAAUUACAGUGUUUGGGGGAAAGAGGUUUACUUGCAGAGUUGAAUUGGGACAGACAUGGAAAAUGGGAAAAUAAUCGAAAUCAGGCAUAAACAGCCAAUAACUGUUUAUUAAGUGCCCACGAUGUGAUGAAUGUUCCAAGGGAAGGAGCGCCAGCGUGCAGAAUUAUCCCAAGUACAUCUUUCUAAACGAUUUGGUUGGUUAAAUGAUGGGCGAAAGAAAAAAGGCCUGGCAUCUUUGCUGAGUCGCAGUUCUGAGCCCAGCAGCCUUUGUUCUUGGCUGGAAAACUGAAGUGAGUAAGUCAAGUUCUAAAACGCUAAGACCCCGAGAAAGGCCUGGGGGCGGGGACUGAAAAAUCCGACAAAGGUGGGUUGUUUCCAAUUGCCGCAGAGGAGACAGCCUGGCCCCUGGGGGCAGCUGCCACAGCCCCUCAGGGGGGUCUCAAUACCGUAAAUCUAAAUUCCGUCUCAUCCUUGGCAAGGGCGAGGGGGCAAGCAGGAUUGCCAUUAGCAAGAUGCUGAAGACAACAAUGGCAGACACAGAAUCUCUGGUAUUAGUCUUUAGCAAAGCCUGUGACAGUCCUGCAGCCAGAAACACUUUUGUCAGCUGAUCGUAUGGGAUCAGGGAGGCCAUGACCCUUAGAAGUCACCUACAGUCCAGGGCACCUGAGUCAGCUGGACCCUUGUAGUGGCUCUUCCCCUCCCCGAAGGGUAUGGGAGACAGAUCCCGGGCCCUGACCUCGUUUCCACAUUUCAAGGCUUUAGGUCUUCAAACUCAUGAGAGAGUCUGUUUUCUUCUCUGUUUGGUCAUUCCUUUCAUUUCUUAGCCUCGUUUCUCCUGAUUCUGCUUGGGAGGUGGCAGGCUUUUCAAAGGUAUGUUUGAAAAGAUCUGUACUGUUUUACUAGUUAGCUCUCAGAGCAGGGGCUGGGCAUGCUUCGUCUACCCCCCAGGAGGGGCCAUGAGAAGCACUGUCACAGAGCGUCCUUGGAGGAGGUACCCUCUUCUCUAAAGGCGAAAAGUGGACUGAGCGGGGCUCAGGUUUACUUCUGUGCUGCUCAGGGUGCUUAUGAAUUUCUAGAAAAUGUGACUAACACUCUGUGAAGCUCUUGUUUCACGCCUGCUGUUUGAACAACCAUCCAUGUUGCUUUAGUUGUCUUUGGGUUAUUGCUUCUAGUGCAUCUUUCAUAUUAUCUAUUCUCCGACGGACCUCUGGGGGCUUCCAACUUUCCAUGACUGCAAAUAACCCUGGGAUGAAAAUCCCAGUGUCCUUGAGAACCGGUCCAUGAGAGUUUCUUGGGACACAUCUCAGAAGUGGGUUUCCAGCUCGUGGAAAAUGAGCAUAUGUAUGCUCCAGAUCUGGGGAUUCUUGCUAAAACUGGGUUUUAUAAGGAAGUGCACAGAGGAGCCUAGGAGCCUGACUCAAGUUUGGUUGAACAAAGAAUGUGUGUUACUCACAGCCCUCCAACACACAGCAUUUGGGGAAUAAGCGUGACAGCCCUAGGGGGACCUGGCGGCGCCCACAACCCACGACCAGUGCUGCUCAUCCCAGCAUUAACCAUGUCAGUAUUUACUAAGUGAAUCCAAGGCAGAGAACACGACGUCUGCAAUGGCCAAGGGAACAUCGCAAGCCUGGGGAGGUGAAAUAGCAGGGGGCUGGGAUGGCGUGGGAGCAUCGGGAAAACCCAAGGAACAAGUGUUGGGAGGGCCAACAUUCACUGUUUGGCAUGUGUAUGGUCAGAAUUUUGGCACUGGUCGCAAAACUAGGAAAGUGGCUACCGAACAGGCUUUUCCUAAUCUUAGGUUCUAAGCACCUUUUGGUAUCUUUUUUCUUUUCUUUUCUUUUCUUUUUUCUUUUUCUUAUAGCUGCACUCAUGGCACAUGGGAGUUCCCCGGGGCCAGGGAUUGAUUCCCAGCCCAGCUGCGACCUAUGACACCACAGCUGCAACAAUGCUGGAUCCUUAACCCACGGUGCCAGGCCAGGGAUCAAACCUGGGCCUCCACAGCAACCUGAGCCACUGCAGUUGCAUUCGUAACACACUCUGCCAUGGCAGGAGCUCUUCAGUUUCAAUCUUUAGAGAAAUGGUAAAGGUUUGGUCUUAGAAGGGAAUGAUCCUCUAGCCUAAUGCCCUAAUUUUGCAGAAUGGAGGCAAAAUGGCAUAACCUGCUCAAGGCCUUACGGUCAAGGUGAGCUUCCCAGGCAGUAAAUGCAGACAGGACGUGCCUGGGGUGAGGCAAGCCGGGCUGGCAUGUCCACUCUGCCACGUGUUCCUAGGCGAGCCAUGUCCCUGCUGUACCACACAGGCGGAAACAUAGGGCCCUGGAGCUGCCGUGGGGACUGACUCCAAAGGGGCCAGUUUCUUUCCUGUUAAUUCCCAGGCUGUGCUCCUGAUUCUGCCCGAGGCUGCCCCACUCAUUGACGGGAAUGGAGUGCCCUCCAGGAGAAAGUCAGAUCCUUUGCGUUUUUAUUUUUUAGGAUUCUUCUCUAUUUGGACCCACUAAUAAUUCACCAUAAAGCGGAACAAAGUGUCUACACCCUUUCAUAUGCCAAAGGGUUUAGUGGAAAUCCCCAAAGGCAUUUGCAGAAGCUGAGGCGGAUCCUAAACACACAGAACAUCCCAACUUUUUAGAAACACCGUGAUUGAAGAUUGUUGGAUUGUUGUUCUCUUCCAAGAAAAGGUAAUUUAUUUUUGAUUAUGAUUAGGAUGGGAGACCUGGAUUAACAUUUAAGCGUGUAGCAGACCUGGCAAAGUGAGUGCCCUUAUAAGAUCUCUGGCUGUAUCUGCUGCCUUAAAACAGAAAGGGGUUAAGGAGGCAUCCAGCCACUUUUACGCAUUAAAAAAGGCAUGGCCUUAGUAUGAUAAUCUCUAGAUUCAUUCAUGUGGCUGAAAAUAGCAUUAUUUCAUUCUUUUUUCAGACAGGGAAAGACAAAUAUGAUAUUACUGGUAUGUGGAAUUUAAAAAAGGAUACAAAUGAACUUACUGGCAGAACAGAAACAGACUCACAGCCUUUGAAAACAAACAUGGUUAUCACCAAAUGGGACAGGUGGGUGGAGAGGGAUGGACUCGGGAUUUGGGACUGGCAUAGGCACGCUCGGGUACAUGGAAAGACUGGCCAAAGGGCACCUGCUGUGCAGCACAGGGUCCUCUACUAGCAUUUGGUGAUAAUGCGGGAAAAGAAUCUGAAAGAGAAUGGAUGUGUAUACAUUUAUAACUGAAUCACUUUGUUGUACAGAGGAAAUUAUCACAACAUUGUAAAUCAACUGUAUUUC
rnacentral:lncRNA from 1 species